CUGCCCAACCUUCAACAUCAACAGCAUCAUCUACAUCAAGGACAAUUAGAUCUUAACGGAAGCUGCAAUUACAUAUAACGUCAUCCGAAACCACCCCACCGAGACCUCAAAGAGGGAAAAAGACAAAAAGGGAAAACUGAGCCAACAAGGAAGAGGGUCGAAAGACUCAAAAAAGAAAAAAACUGAGGGACUCAAGAAACUGGUAAGUGGGUGGAUGUAGGAUACUUUUGUUGUCUGUGGCUGAAAAAAUGGCUGCAGUUUUAUUUGACAUUUCUGAAGAACUAAGAAACCAACAGCCAAUCCAACCCCCAUAUCCAACCUCAACUGCACCCGAUUGGUGUUCCUAUGACAGAUGUGGAGAUAUACCAACAGAUAUUGUGAAGUUAUGUUGCGGGACUAGACCAGAGAAUUGUAUUUCAUUACCACCAAAGUUGUUUAGAGCCACAAGUUCUGGAUCUUGCUAAUGUAUAUAGAAACGGUGUACUAGCAAUUGAUAUAGACGAAGACAUUAAUCGAAGGGGAAGACUUGCAGUCUACAGACAAUUUGUUAUGUGGUGGUACAGGGAAUAGAGUAGUAGUAAACUCCUGUUGUGUUCUGAAAAUAGGAUUAUCGUUUCAAGACAGAAAUGGCAUGGGUUUUAAUCCAAGACGAUUAUUAUGAAAAUACUACAUUAAAAUCUGGUUUUCUGUUUCUUGGAUGUCUCUGAAGUUGAUUCUGGCUGGGGUUUUGCAACUGUGUCUGCAAAUCUUUCGAGGACCAUCCUGGUCUAGUGGUCAUUUUCGCCCCGUUUUGCUUUUAUCAUCGAGUCUGGCCCUAUACAGAUAGUAAAUUCAAGACAUCAAAAUUGUUCCAGGAUAGUUUGGCAAUUAAUACAAAUUCUUGUUUCGUGCCAGACAUUUUUAAUUUUUACAACACUUUAUUCGAUUCUAAAGUUGUAAUUUAACUCAUCUAACUUACUAUGGUACUUACUUUUCUUGAGUUAUAUCGUCUUGAAAGGGGCUAAUUCCUACAGAGAUUGUAGACAUUUCAGGAGGCCUGUUCUUUCCCUUGUCUGUAUCAGUACUACAAAAACAAAAUUAGUUGUAAUAGUUGUACUAUCAUAAAUAAAAGUGAUGAUAUCAUUACCAGUAUGUUAAUGAUG